GGUAGCGUGGCCGAGCGGUCUAA
rnacentral:piRNA from 5 species